UACGUAGGGGGCGAGCGUUGUCCGGAGUUACUGGGCGUAAAGGGCGCGUAGGCGGUAAUGCGAGUGUGAUGUGAAGGCCCUGGGCUUAACCUGGGAAGUGCAUCGCAAACGGCAUAACUAGAGUAUAUGAGAGGGUGGCGGAAUUUCCGGUGUAGCGGUGAAAUGCGUAGAGAUCGGAAGGAACGUCGAUGGCGAAGGCAGCCACCUGGCAUAAUACUGACGCUGAGGCGCGAAAGCGUGGGUAGCGAACAGG
rnacentral:rRNA from 1 species